CUACGUGCCAGCAGCCGCGGUAAUACGGAAGGUUCGGGCGUUAUCCGGAUUUAUUGGGUUUAAAGGGAGCGUAGGCCGGAGAUUAAGUGUGUUGUGAAAUGUAGACGCUCAACGUCUGACUUGCAGCGCAUACUGGUUUCCUUGAGUACGCACAACGUUGGCGGAAUUCGUCGUGUAGCGGUGAAAUGCUUAGAUAUGACGAAGAACUCCGAUUGCGAAGGCAGCUGACGGGAGCGCAACUGACGCUGAAGCUCGAAGGUGCGGGUAUCGAACAGGAUUAGAUACCCUGGUAGUCCGCACAGUAAACGAUGGAUGCCCGCUGUUGGUACCUAGUAUCAGCGGCUAAGCGAAAGCAUUAAGCAUCCCACCUGGGGAGUACGCCGGCAACGGUGAAACUCAAAGGAAUUGACGGGGGCCCGCACAAGCGGAGGAACAUGUGGUUUAAUUCGAAGCAACGCGAAGAACCUUACCAGGUCUUGACAUCCCGAUGCUAUUUCUAGAGAUAGAAAGUUA
rnacentral:rRNA from 1 species